UACGUAGGGACCAAGCGUUGUUCGGAUUUACUGGGCGUAAAGGGCGCGUAGGCGGCAAUUCAAGUCAGUUGUGAAAUCUCCGAGCUUAACUCGGAACGGUCAACUGAUACUGUUUUGCUAGAGUGCAGAAAGGGCAACCGGAAUUCUUGGUGUAGCGGUGAAAUGCGUAGAUAUCAAGAGGAACACCUGAGGCGAAGGCGGGUUGCUAGGCUGACACGUGACGCUGAGGCGCGAAAGCUAGGGUAGCAAACGGG
rnacentral:rRNA from 1 species